CCUACGGGAGGCAGCAGUGAGGAAUAUUGGUCAAUGGGCGAGAGCCUGAACCAGCCAAGUCGCGUGAAGGAUGAAGGAUCUAUGGUUUGUAAACUUCUUUUAUAUGGGAAUAAAGUGAGGAACGUGUUCCUUUUUGUAUGUACCAUAUGAAUAAGCAUCGGCUAACUCCGUGCCAGCAGCCGCGGUAAUACGGAGGAUGCGAGCGUUAUCCGGAUUUAUUGGGUUUAAAGGGUGCGUAGGUGGUUAAUUAAGUCAGCGGUGAAAGUUUGUGGCUCAACCAUAAAAUUGCCGUUGAAACUGGUUGACUUGAGUAUAUUUGAGGUAGGCGGAAUUCCUAGUGUAGCGGUGAAAUGCGUAGAUAUUAGAAGGAACACCAAUAGCGUAGGCAGGUUACUGGGACGGUUCUGACACUAAGGCACGAAAGCGUAGGGAGCAAACGGGAUUAGAUACCCCGGUAGUC
rnacentral:rRNA from 1 species